rnacentral:rRNA from 1 species
AUGGCGGCGGGAGGCGUGUGGGUGUUCCGGAAGGACGGCGUGAUGGAGCUGGACGCAUCGACGACGGCGAAGAGCAAGGCGCUGGUGUACGUGCCGGCCAACGAGCCGAUGCGGUCGCUGCCGGCGCUGGAGCGGCGGCUGGGGUUGCUCGGGUGGGAGCGCUACUACGAGAACAUCGCCGUGGUGCAGCUUCACAGGCGGGACGGCGGCCUCGACCUCAUCACCCUCCCGCGCGACUUCGCCAGGCUGCGCUCCACCCACAUGUACGACGUCGUCGUCAAGAACCGAGGCCACUUCAGGGUCGUCGACCACGUCUACUAA